rnacentral:rRNA from 1 species
UUAAAUUGAAGAGUUUGAUCAUGGCUCAGAUUGAACGCUGGCGGCAGGCCUAACACAUGCAAGUCGAACGGUAACAGGAAGAAGCUUGCUUCUUUGCUGACGAGUGGCGGACGGGUGAGUAAUGUCUGGGAAACUACCUGAUGGAGGGGG